UGGCAGCGGCGGCGGCCGAAGCGCCGGUACCCGAUCCCGGCACAUCGCGGCCCCAGGCCUCCCUCUCGCUCGUCUAGCGGCUCAGCUGCCGCCCGGGCCAGAAGAGCGGCGCUCUGCGCUCCUCGGGACUUGUAGUCCUUCCCGUCCGCUCCUCACCGCGCCGCUGAGACGCUGGGACUACAAUUCCCAGCAGCCCUUUCGGCAGAGCGUUGAUUGGCGCUCCUACAGUCACUCUCCACUACAAUCACUGUUACUACUGGCUUCUCCCGACGCCCUGCGGGAGCCAAUCGGGAGACAGCAGACCACGCCUCGGGCCACACUGCGCCGCGCGGCGCCAUUGGAGAGAGGAAAAGCGUCGACCAAUAAGCGCUGGUAGAGGAGGGACGGCGAUCACCUCAGCUGCUCAGGAUUGGCUGAGUCCACAGGCAGCCUGACCAAUAGCGGCGGUGGGGUAUGUAUAAAUUCCACAGCGAGAGUACACUGCGGCCUUUCCAGGCGCGAGGACCUGUCGGGAACUGAAUCUCAGCGGCGUGAGGGGCAGCGAGAGCCAGGGGGUGCUCCCCUGAGGGCCCGGCACGCUUCCCCGGCUCCUCGCGAGCUCCGGGCUGGGUACGCGUGGCGGUGGUAGGGGAUGGAGGGCUGAGCGCGGCGCUGUGCGGCCCGCACCGCUUGGCGGCCUCCGUGUCUCCCCUGGGGCCGCCGUACCGGGCUGACCUCACAGCUUACGGAUUCAAUAAAGUUUUCUGACUCGAA